rnacentral:rRNA from 1 species
UGAGGAAUAUUGGUCAAUGGACGAGAGUCUGAACCAGCCAAGUAGCGUGCAGGAUGACGGCCCUCUGGGUUGUAAACUGCUUUUGUUUGGGGAUAAGCGACAUUACGUGUAAUGUUUUGCAUGUACAAUUCGAAUAAGUACCGGCUAAUCCCGUGCCAGCAGCCGCGGUAAUACGGUAGGUCCAGGCGUUAUCCGGAUUUAUUGGGUUUAAAGGGAGUGUAGGCGGUUGGUUAAGCGUGUUGUGAAAUGUAGCUGCGCAACAUCUGACUUGCAGCGCGAACUGGCUGACUUGAGUACACACCACGUAGGCGGAAUUCAUGGGGUAGCGGUGAAAUGCUUAGAGAUGAUGAAGAUCUCCGAUUGCGAAGGCAGCUUACGGGAGUGUUACUGACGCUUAAGCUCGAAGGUGCGGGUAUCGAACAGG